rfam:Spinacia oleracea cultivar SynViroflay scaffold28447.con0002.1, whole genome shotgun sequence.
AUUCCGUGGUGAGGGCACUCUCUUUGAUAUUCUUUGAACCUAUCCCAUGCCUCAAACAAGGACUCAUCUCUCUUUUGCUCAAAUGACUGGAUCUUAUGACGGUACU